rnacentral:rRNA from 1 species
UACAGAGGGUGCAAGCGUUGUUCGGAAUUACUGGGCGUAAAGCGCGUGUAGGCGGCCUUUCAAGUCAGACGUGAAAUCCCUCGGCUUAACCGAGGAACUGCAUCUGAUACUGUUAGGCUAGAGUGUCGGAGGGGAUGGCGGAAUUCCCGGUGUAGAGGUGAAAUUCGUAGAUAUCGGGAGGAACACCUGUGGCGAAGGCGGCCAUCUGGAAGACAACUGACGCUGAGACGCGAAAGCGUGGGGAGCAAACAGG